rnacentral:misc_RNA from 1 species
AGAAACUCCAUUUGUAUCAACCUAACAAGUAUUUAGUAAUUUAAUUUUUUAAAAAUAAAAGAAAUAUCAGUAUACUAUAUGGAAUGAAAAUUAUUUGCUAUGUCAAUCUUUAGAUAGAAGACGUCAUAUAUAACAUUCAAGAAAAAAUUUUAAAAAAUAAAAACAUCAAGAGAGAAGAAAGAAAAAAGGGACCAAGUGCUCCAACUUGGAGUGGGUGAUUCCUCCUAAAAAUCAACCAAGUAUAUAAUUGCAUAGUGGAAUCCACUGUCCCUAGUUGAGUGGCAUCCAAGAAUGUAUUAGGUUAUCAACGAUUUCUAGUUGGCAUUUACCUACACUAAACCAUUGUAGUGUUGGCUGUUUGCACCAAUUAACUAUUAACAACUCUUUUUUCUUAAUAACAUUUCUCAUUUU